AACGAACGCUGGCGGCAUGCCUAACACAUGCAAGUCGAACGAAGGCUUCGGCCUUAGUGGCGCACGGGUGCGUAACGCGUGGGAAUCUGCCCUUUGGUUCGGAAUAACAGCUGGAAACGGCUGCUAAUACCGGAUGAUGACGAAAGUCCAAAGAUUUAUCGCCAGAGGAUGAGCCCGCGUUGGAUUAGGUAGUUGGUGGGGUAAAGGCCUACCAAGCCGACGAUCCAUAGCUGGUCUGAGAGGAUGAUCAGCCACACUGGGACUGAGACACGGCCCAGACUCCUACGGGAGGCAGCAGUGGGGAAUAUUGGACAAUGGGCGCAAGCCUGAUCCAGCAAUGCCGCGUGAGUGAUGAAGGCCCUAGGAUUGUAAAGCUCUUUUACCCGGGAAGAUAAUGACUGUACCGGGAGAAUAAGCCCCGGCUAACUCCGUG
rnacentral:rRNA from 1 species